rnacentral:misc_RNA from 1 species
AGCAGCCGCGGUAAUUCCAGCUCCAAUAGCGUAUAUUAAAGUUGUUGCAGUUAAAAGCUCGUAGUUGAAUUUCGGGGUUAGUAGGUUGGUCAUGCCACUGGUAUGUACUGAUCUUACUGAUUCCUCCUUCCUGAUGAACCGUAAUGCCAUUAAUUUGGUGUUGCGGGGAGACUGGACUGUUACUUUGAAAAAUUGAGUGUUUAAAGCAGGCUAACGCUUGAAUACAUUAGCAUGGAAUAAUGAAAUAGGACGUUCGAUCCUAUUUUGUUGGUUUCUAGGAUUGA